UCAAAGGAAAAAAAUUGCUUUCGGGUUUUAANCGGGGNAGAANAAAAGUUGGGGGAAUGAACUUCAAAGUCCUCAUGGGCCCUUAAUGUUCCAAGGGGGCUACAACAACGUGCUACAAUGGGGCGGCACAAAAGGGGCUGCAAUCCCGCGGAGGGGGANNNCUAUCUCAAAAAGCCGCUCUCAGUUCAGAUUGGAGUCUGCAACUCGACUCCAUGAAGGCGGAAUCGCUAGUAAUCGCGGAUCAGCAUGCCGCGGUGAAUACGUUCCCGGGCCUUGUACACACCGCCCCUGAAUCACUAG
rnacentral:rRNA from 1 species